AAAUCGCAGAUUCAGCGGUGUGGUGUAUGGGUCUUUCAGCGGACUUGCUCA
rnacentral:snRNA from 1 species